AUUGAACGCUGGCGGCAGGCCUAACACAUGCAAGUCGAGCGGAUGAAAGGGGCUUGCUCCUGGAUUCAGCGGCGGACGGGUGAGUAAUGCGCAGGAAUCUACCUCGUAGUGGGGGAUAACGUCUCGAAAGGGGCGCUAAUACCGCAUACGUUCUGAGGAAGAAAGCAGGGGGACCUUCGGGCCUUGCGCUAUGAGAUGAGCUUGCGUCCGAUUAGCUAGUUGGUGGGGUAAAGGCCUACCAAGGCGACGAUCGGUAACUGGUCUGAGAGGAUGAUCAGUCACACUGGAACUGAGACACGGUCCAGACUCCUACGGGAGGCAGCAGUGGGGAAUAUUGGACAAUGGGGGCAACCCUGAUCCAGCCAUGCCGCGUGUGUGAAGAAGGCC
rnacentral:rRNA from 1 species